GUGGCAGCCGGCGCGGUAAUACGGAGGAUGCGAGCGUUAUCCGGAAUCAUUGGGUUUAAAGGGUCCGUAGGCGGUCUUAUAAGUCAGUGGUGAAAUCUCCUAGCUCAACUAGGAAACUGCCAUUGAUACUGUAGGACUUGAAUUUUUGUGAAGUAACUAGAAUAUGUAGUGUAGCGGUGAAAUGCUUAGAUAUUACAUGGAAUACCAAUUGCGAAGGCAGGUUACUAACAAACGAUUGACGCUGAUGGACGAAAGCGUGGGGAGCGAACAGGAUUAGAUACCCUGGUAGUCCACGCUGUAAACGAUGGAUACUAGCUGUUUGACGCAAGUUGAGUGGCUAAGCGAAAGUGAUAAGUAUCCCACCUGGCGAGUACACACGCA
rnacentral:rRNA from 1 species